AACGAACGCUGGCGGCAUGCCUAAUACAUGCAAUUCGAGCGAACAGAUGAAGUGCUUGCACUUCUGACGUUAGCGGCGAACGGGUGAGUAACACGUAAGGAAUCUACCUAUAAGCGGGGGAUAACAUUCGGAAACGGGUGCUAAUACCGCAUAAUAUCUUCUUCCGCAUGGAAGAAGAUUGAAAGACGGCUCUGCUGUCACUUAUAGAUGACCUUGUGGUGCAUUAGUUAGUUGGUGGGGUAACGGCCUACCAAGACGAUGAUGCAUAGCCGACCUGAGAGGGUGAUCGGCCACAUUGGGACUGAGACACGGCCCAAACUCCUACGGGAGGCAGCGGUAGGGAAUCUUCCGCAAUGGGCGAAAGCCUGACGGAGCAAUGCCGCGUGAGUGAAGAAGGCCUUCGGGUCGUAAAACUCUGUUAUAAGAGAAGAACAAAUUGUAGAGUAACUGCUACAGUCUUGACGGUAUCUUAUCAGAAAGCCACGGCUAACUACGUGCCAGCAGCCGCGGUAA
rnacentral:rRNA from 1 species